rnacentral:rRNA from 1 species
UGCAUCGAUGAGACGCAGCGACGCGAUAAGUAAUUGUGAUUUGCAGAAUUCAGUGAUCAUCGAAUCUUUGACCGCACAUUGCGCCCGCGGUUAUUCGGCGGCUUUGCCUGUUUCGAGCGUCAUUUCAACCUCAAGCCUCGCUUGGUGUUGGGGCGCGG